rnacentral:rRNA from 1 species
UACGAAGGGGGCUAGCGUUGCUCGGAAUUACUGGGCGUAAAGGGCGCGUAGGCGGACAGUUUAGUCAGAGGUAAAAGCCCAGGGCUCAACCUUGGAACUGCCUUUGAUACUGACUGUCUUGAGUUCGGGAGAGGUGAGUGGAAUGCCGAGUGUAGAGGUGAAAUUCGUAGAUAUUCGGCGGAACACCAGUGGCGAAGGCGACUCACUGGCCCGAUACUGACGCUGAGGCGCGAAAGCGUGGGGAGCAAACAGGG